UACGUAGGGCGCGAGCGUUGUCCGGAAUUAUUGGGCGUAAAGAGCUCGUAGGCGGCCGGUUGCGUCUGCUGUGAAAUCCCGGGGCUUAACCCCGGGCGUGCAGUGGAUACGGGCCGGCUGGAGGCAGGCAGGGGAGAAUGGGAAUUCCCGGUGUAGCGGUGAAAUGCGCAGAUAUCGGGAGGAACACCGGUGGCGAAGGCGGUUCUCUGGGCCUGUACUGACGCUGAGGAGCGAAG
rnacentral:rRNA from 1 species